rnacentral:rRNA from 1 species
UACGAAGGGGACUAGCGUUGUUCGGAAUCACUGGGCGUAAAGCGCACGUAGGCGGAUUCGUAAGUCAGGGGUGAAAUCCCGGGGCUCAACCUCGGAACUGCCUUUGAUACUGCGGGUCUUGAGUCCGAUAGAGGUGGGUGGAAUUCCUAGUGUAGAGGUGAAAUUCGUAGAUAUUGGGAAGAACACCGGUGGCGAAGGCGGCGACCUGGUCCUUUUACUGACGCUGAGGCGCGAAAGCGUGGGGAGCAAACAGG